rnacentral:rRNA from 1 species
CGAACCUGACAGUACCAUGAUCCUUCGGGUGAUUGGAUAGUGAUAGUAAUCAUACUUCCUAGAAAAACCUCUAAGCUUCAGGUUAAUAUAGCCCGUACCUCAAACCGACACAGGUAGUCAAGGAGAGUAUCCUGAGGUGCUCGAGUUAGUCGUGGCUAAGGAACUAGGCAAAUUUACCCCGUAACUUCGGGAUAAGGGGUCCCUACGCGAGUAGGGCGCAGAGAAAUGGCCCAUGCGACUGUUUAACAAAAACAUAUGGCUUUGCAAAAUUGAAAGAUGAAGUAUAAGGCCUGACACCUGCCCGGUGCCGGAAGGUUAAAAGGGGAUGUUAUCAGCAAUGAGAAGCAUUGAAUUGAAGCCCCGGUAAACGGCGGCCGUAACAAUAACGGUCCUAAGGUAGCGAAAUUCCUUGUCGGGUAAGUUCCGACCUGCACGAAUGGUGUAACGAUGUGGGCACUGUCUCAGCCACGCGCUCGGUGAAAUUGUAGUUCCGGUGAAGAUGCCGGAUACCCGCGACGGGACGAAAAGACCCCGUGCACCUUUACUAUAACUUCAUAUUGAUUCUGGUUAAGUGAUGUGUAGGAUAGGACGGAGACUAUGAGGCAUGUUCGCUAGGGCAUGUGGAGUCAUCCUUGAAAUACGUCCCUUUACUUAAUUGGAACCUAAUCCCUUCGGGGAGACAGUGUGUGGUGGGUAGUUUGACUGGGGUGGUCGCCUCCAAAAUCGUAACGGAGGCUUUCAAAGGUACCCUCAGCACGCUUGGUAACCGUGCGUAGAGUGUAAUGGCAUAAGGGUGCUUGACUGUGAGACCGACGGGUCGAUCAGGUAGGAAACUAGGACAUAGUGAUCCGGUGGUUCCGCAUGGAAGGGCCAUCGCUCAAAGGAUAAAAGGUACGCCGGGGAUAACAGGCUGAUCGCUCCCAAGAGCUCACAUCGACGGAGCGGUUUGGCACCUCGAUGUCGGCUCGUCACAUCCUGGGGCUGGAGAAGGUCCCAAGGGUUGGGCUGUUCGCCCAUUAAAGUGGCACGCGAGCUGGGUUCAGAACGUCGUGAGACAGUUCGGUCCCUAUCUGUCGUGGGCGUAGGAAACUUGAGAGGACCUGACAUUAGUACGAGAGGACCGUGUUGGACAAACCUCUAGUGUACCUGUUGUGGCGCCAGCUGCAUCGCAGGGUAGCUACGUUUGGACGAGAUAAGUGCUGAAAGCAUCUAAGCACGAAGCUCCCCUCAAGAUGAGGUUUCCAUUAAGGGUCGUUAUAGACUAUGACGUUGAUAGGCUGCAGGUGUAAAGGCAGUAAUGUCAAAGCCGAGCAGUACUAAUUACCC